rnacentral:rRNA from 1 species
GGUAAAAAAGCUCGUAGUUGGAUUUCUGUUGAGGGCAACCGGUCCACACCAUGUGUGCGCAUCUGGGCUGACCUCGGCAUCCUAUCCGGAAUGACAUUGUGCUUGAUUGCGUGAUGUUGGUUCGGGUACUUUUACUUUGAGGAAAUUAGAGUGUUCACGGCAGGCUAUCGCCAGAAUACAUUAGCAUGGAAUAAUACUAUAGGAUUUCGAUUCUAUUUUGUUGGUUUCUAGAAUUGAGAUAAUGAUUAAUAGGGACAAUUGGGGGCAUUCGUAUCAACACGUCAGAGGUGGAAUUCUUGGAUUGUGUUGCGACGAACUACUGCGAAAGCAUCUGCCAAGUAUGUUUUCAUUGAUCAAGAACGAAAGUAAGGGGAUCGAAGACGAUUAGAUACCGUCGUAGUCUUUACCAUAAACUAUGCCAACUAGAGAUCCGUCAUCGUUCAUUUACGACUUGAUGGGCACCUUAUGAGAUAUCAAAGUCUUUGGGUUCCGGGGGGAGUAUGGUCGCAAGGCUGAAACUUAAAGGAAUUGACGGAAGGGCACCACCAGGAGUGGAGCCUGCGGCUUAAUUUGACUCAACACGGGGAAACUCACCAGGUCCAGACAUAAUAAGGAUUGACAGAUUGAUAGCUCUUUCUUGAUUUUAUGGGUGGUGGUGCAUGGCCGUUCUUAGUUCGUGGAGUGAUUUGUCUGCUUAAUUGCGUUAAC